UACGUAGGGCGCAAGCGUUAUCCGGAAUUAUUGGGCGUAAAGAGCUCGUAGGCGGUUUGUCGCGUCUGCCGUGAAAGUCCGGGGCUCAACUCCGGAUCUGCGGUGGGUACGGGCAGACUAGAGUGCAGUAGGGGAGACUGGAAUUCCUGGUGUAGCGGUGAAAUGCGCAGAUAUCAGGAGGAACACCGAUGGCGAAGGCAGGUCUCUGGGCUGUAACUGACGCUAGGAGCGAAAGCAUGGG
rnacentral:rRNA from 1 species